CCUUCUCACUCCAUACUUUGCAGUAAGAUCUACUGCGCUCAAGUUAAGAAGCUCAGAAAGGGAAUUCCCGAACUCCUCAAGCUUAUCUGCAUAUUGCAUCAGUGCAUGAUCAUGCAGGGAAACAGAAGAAUCACUUAGUUGUUUGCAAAGAUUUGCAAAAGAAUAUGAAGAACCCCAGAUGUUUAUAUACAAGAUAACAAGAAGGGUGAGUUUAUCAGUAAAGAGAACCUUUUGCCGUUGAGUCAUGUUCAACUCGUUCAUAUCGUCUGCAUUCAUAAUCUUCAAUGUUGGUACAUCAUCCCACCCUUCCUCCAACAGCUUUGGAAGAAGUCCUUGCAGCGAUCCAUUUCCAAUAAAGUCCUCAAUCGCGAAAGAAGCCAUCUCCUUUCUCAAGCAGAGAAACAGAGAGACUUGGAAGAAAGACCUGUUUAUAUAUAUGCAAUCAAUGAAUGGACACACUUAGUUUAUAUGUCCAAGUUUGAAAUACAUUCACUUCGACAAUGUCUAUGGCUGUGAUUAACUCCUGUCCCAAUGUAACGUGCAGUCUUAUAGUGAUUGAUGAAUAAGAACUUUCAAUUGCUAAUGAUAAACAAAGUUAUCUUUUUGUUGAA